UGGCGAUAUUAGGUUAAAAGCCGGUUCUCGUUCGAUCACCGAAGUUAAGCAACGUUGAGCCUGGUCAGUACCUAGAUGGGUGACAGAUUGGGAAUGGGCGAAGCUG